rnacentral:lncRNA from 1 species
AAUGAAUAAGUUAGUAGGCCAAAUUUGUCAACCAGUUACGCCUCUUGCAAACCACUUUCAAACUAGGAAAAUUGUGGGACAUAAUCCCCCAGUCCUAAAUCCAAGUCAAGGGGUAGAACCACAUUUCGGUCCCUCUACUUCAAACCAAGGGGAUGGUGUAACGCCAAAUCAGAAUAAUGGUAGUGGUACGCCUAACUUGGGGGGUAAUCCAAAUGUAAGAGAUAAUGUCCUAAAUAACGGGCAGAAUACCCCACGUGUUAAU